UGCUAUCCUCUCAUUCCUUGUGCUUGACUCUCAUUCUAGUGUGCACCUCCCUCUUGUUGGAAGUGUGAGUGAUGGAUUACUCCGGCUAUAACUAUUGUAGUGUAAAUAUCGGUACAACAACCUUCUAUCUCACAGUAAGGUGCACAAAUCUAGAAGAUUGGCCAACGGUGUAGAAAUCUCCAAGGUCUCCUUUGCAAACCUCUGCUGCUUGGAAACCGGAAAUGCAUC
rnacentral:lncRNA from 1 species